UAAUUUUAGGUCUGACCUGCCCAUUGAUUUAUUAAAAGGCCGCAGUAUCUUAACUGUGCAAAGGUAGCAUAAUCAUUAGUUUUUUAAUUGGAAACUGGAAUGAAAGGUUGGACGAGACACUGACUGUUUCUUUUAAAUGUUGUUAGAAUUUUAUUUUUUAGUUAAAAAGCUAGAAUUUAAUUUAAAGACGAGAAGACCCUAUAGAUCUUUAUAAUUAUUUGAUUUUUGUUAUUUGGAUUUAUUAAAUAAUAAUUAAUUAUAUUAUUUUGUUGGGGUGACAUGAAGAUUAAUAUAACUCUUUAUUUUUUAUUGCAUUAAUUUAUGGUUGAUUUGAUCCUUUAUUAAAGAUUAAAAAAUUAAGUUACCUUAGGGAUAACAGCGUAAUUUUUCUGGAGAGUUCUUAUCGAUAGAAGAGAUUGCGACCUCGAUGUUGGAUUAAGAGAUAUAACUGGGUGCAGAAGCUUAGUAAAAUUAGUCUGUUCGACUAUUAAUUUCUUACAUGAUCC
rnacentral:rRNA from 1 species